UCUUUGAGUUUGAAUUUAAUCAUUUUUUUUUAUCAUCUUGGCUACUGGUCCUUUGGGGUACGUACGUUUUAUCAUAUUUUGUAUGAUCAUUAUUUGUAUAGGUACAAAUGUAAGGUUUCGUGCACAAAUAAAGGUUUUUGUAUGUGUUUUUUUUUUUUUAAAUUGAUAGAGCAAAAAUAUAUAUACCUACAUUUAUUUCAGUGUAAUUUAUUUGUUAUUUUUGUGACAUAUGCU